UGUCAUGGUGACUGUCAGCUGUGCGGCAGUCCCAGCCAAUCACGGUGGGAGACUAUCUAUAAAGGCGGGCGUAGAGCACAUGUCGGCAUCUUGCUUGCCGUAGGCUGGGUCACGUUGCGCCUGGGCGUCCAUUUCCGCUUCCGUGCGGUGACAGGCUCUUGCUUGCCGGAGGCUGGGUCACGUAGCUCCUGUGCGUCUAUUUCCGCUUCUGUGCAGUGAUAGGGCUCACUUGGAUGUUGCUGCUGGCUGCGCGCUGCUCAUCGAUACAUGGCCGAUGCCGCCUACUGAACUGUCGCUUUGGUAUAGCGUCCCGUUCCCUGCUCCACGCCACGUUGGCCGGGACUGCCCGAUUGGGUGGCCGACAGUAGCGGCGCAGCGGCGGCCAAUCCACCUAUAAAAACCACUGCUGCUUUGCUUCAACGUUAUUACCGCCUUGCCAGGGCCAGCUCGGACCCGAUCGCUUUGCCGUUCAUUCGGCUAGCGAUAGUUUGUUCCUUUUCCUGUUGUGUCGCUAUCUCUUUUGUUUAGUUGGUGCAACUACAUCUUAAAGUGUGAAUGUUAUGUUAUGUAAGAGUUUUUGCUGAUUUCUCCUUGUGUUUAGUUAUUAUAGAUUUUGUUUAUUUAAUUAAUUUCUCUUAUUAUUAUUUUGUUUCCAUUAUGUUUUCUAACUGGUUGCUCUGCGAUCCCCCUCAAUUCAGGUGCUGAGCCUACGGUGGUGGACUGGUGUCCUGGUCACGGUGUCCCUUUUGUAUUGUGUUUGCAGUUGGUUUAUUUUUCAUUUGUUUUACGCGUGGUGUUCCUGGGACCCCCUUUCCUUUGGAUGCAGGUGUUCACAGUAGGUCUCAGCACUGAUUGGAUCUCAGCACCCAAUUUCCCUCCUUAGUGAGUAAUUAUUUAGUAGUCUUAAGAACAGACAUUUUGUAUAAAUAAAAG